rnacentral:rRNA from 1 species
CACGUAGGGUGCGAGCGUUGUCCGGAAUCAUUGGGCGUAAAGAGCGUGUAGGCGGCUCGGUAAGUCCGCUGUGAAAGUCCAGGGCUCAACCCUGGAAUGCCGGUGGAAACUGUCGGGCUAGAGUCCGGAAGAGGCGAGUGGAAUUCCUGGUGUAGCGGUGAAAUGCGCAGAUAUCAGGAGGAACACCAAUGGCGAAGGCAGCUCGCUGGGACGGUACUGACGCUGAGACGCGAAAGCGUGGGGAGCGAACAGG